rnacentral:rRNA from 1 species
GAUGAACGCUAGCUACAGGCUUAACACAUGCAAGUCGAGGGGCAGCAUGAACUUAGCUUGCUAAGUUUGAUGGCGACCGGCGCACGGGUGAGUAACACGUAUCCAACCUUCCGUUUACUCAGGGAUAGCCUUUCGAAAGAAAGAUUAAUACCUGAUAGUAUGGUGAGAUUGCAUGAUAACACCAUUAAAGAUUUAUUGGUAAACGAUGGGGAUGCGUUCCAUUAGGUAGUAGGCGGGGUAACGGCCCACCUAGCCUGCGAUGGAUAGGGGUUCUGAGAGGAAGGUCCCCCCACAUUGGAACUGAGACACGGUCCAAACUCCUACGGGAGGCAGCAGUGAGGAAUAUUGGUCAAUGGGCGAGAGCCUGAACCAGCCAAGUAGCGUGAAGGAUGAAGGUCCUACGGAUUGUAAACUUCUUUUAUACGGGAAUAAAGUUUCCUACGUGUAGGAUUUUGUAUGUACCGUAUGAAUAGCAUCGGCUAACGUCCGUG